CGACCUCCAUCCACAAAAUGGAGUAGAACAACUCGACGAGGACGGCCCCCAGAGACAGACAGAAGUAGUACCCUGGCGCCUGCCGCCUGGCGCCACCGGCACGGCAGUCCGCGACACCGCCACCGGGCUCGCUGCCCAAACCCUUCUUUCUUCCCGCCGGAAAUCAAUAUCUCUCCACCGGCCACCACCGCGAUCCCCGCGCCCACCGUCCGCAUCCAAUGCACGAAACCCUAGCCGCCGCCCCACGCCCUCACCGGCCACCGCCAACAUAAGUUCCCCGCUCCCCACCUCGCAUGCUCGUCGCCCCCCUCUCCUCCCUAUCCCUCGCGCGAAGCCCCGGCCGCCUCCGCUUUCUCCUCCCCGCUUCCGCUGCUCGCGUCGCCCGCCUCGCCAUGUCGACCGCGCCGCAAGCGGCGGCGGCGGCUGUCUCCGUCGAGUACGCCAAGUCGGGCCGCUCCACCUGCAAGGGGUGCAGCGGGGCCAUCGCCUCCGGGGCGCUCCGCCUCGGCGCCUCCACGCCCGACCCCCGCGGCUUCGACGCCACCAAGUGGUACCACGUCGCUUGCUUCCCCUCCGACGCGUCCCACCCGCUUGGCCCCGUCGAGAGCAUCAAUGGGUUCGACUCCAUUAAGGAAGCCGAUCGUGAGGAAUUGCAUGAGCUAGUGAAGAAUCGCAAGAGAGACCAGACUGCAGAACCAAGUCCAAAGAAAGCAAAGACUCAGAUGUCGUCCCCUGCAGAGGGGGUGUCAGAUAGGGCAAGUGUCUCUGUUGAGUAUGCGAAGUCUGGCCGCUCUGCAUGUAAAGGCUGCAGUGAGAAUAUUGCCAAAGGCGCCCUCCGCCUUGGUGCCUCUUUUCAUGAUCCCCGUGGCUUUGAAAAUACCAAGUGGUACCAUAUUGCAUGCUUCCCUACAUCAUCAUACCCUGUAUUUCCUGUGGAUAAUCUGAAGGGGUUUGAUUCAAUCGAGGAUCAUGAUCGUGAGAAACUGCAGGAGUUAGUGGAGGCUCAGAGCGUAGGGGACUCUAAUGAAGUUACUGAAAAGAAUCCAGAAGAAGUAAAGAAUCGUGAUGAUAAGGUAGACAAGACAGUCGAUCCAUUGGAUGAGCCUAGUCCAAAGAAAGUAAAGGCUCACAUGUCUUCAUCCAUGAAGUGGGUGUCUGAAAAGGCAAGUGUCUUGGUUGAGUAUGCAAAGUCUGGCCGCUCCACCUGCAAGGGAUGCAGUAAGAAUAUUGCCAAAGGCGCCCUCCGCCUCGGUGCCUCUGCUCAUGACCCACGCGGUUAUGACAGCACCAAAUGGUACCAUGUUGCAUGCUUCCCUGCCUCAUCAUACCCAUUAUUUCCUGUGGAGAAUCUUAAGGGGUUUGAUUCUAUCAAGAAUAAUGACCGUGAGAAGUUGCUGGAGUUGGGUGAGAAUUACAAGAGAGAUGGCAAUGCAGCUGAUCAGUCGAGUGAGCCAAGCCUGAAGGAAGAAAUGGUUGACAGCACGAGGAUCUCUAAAGAAGGUGCUGAAAAUAAUCUGGAAGAAGUAAAGUUUUCUGCAGGGAACAAUAGAAUACGUCCAGUGAUAUCCUUUUCAGUUUCUGAUACCAAUAAAGAUUACAAGGGUGCUACACUUCCCACUCAUUGGAAGGCUUUUGAGACAGUUAUCUUCCGUGAACAGGAAGAUGGCCUUCAUGCUUCAGCUAAGAUUGCUGCAUUUGAUUUUGAUGGGUGCCUUGCCAAAACAUCAGUGAGGAUUUUCCAACCUUCUGCACGUGCAGCAUUGGUGCAGACAAGUGGUCUUUACAGCAUCAAUCAAUUCCAAAAAAAUUGCAAAGUCUGUACAAUGAUGGUUACAAACUGGUCAUAUUCACCAAUGAGUCGAACAUUGAUCGCUGGAAGAAUAAGCGGCAGGAAGCUGUUGACUCCAAAGUUGGACGCCUCGAUAACUUUAUCGAGUGUGUUAAAGUCCCUAUUCAGGUUUUCAUUGCUUGUGGUUUAGGGCAAGGAAAAGGUACUCCAGAUGAUCCAUACCGCAAACCAAAUCCUGGAAUGUGGUGGUUGAUGGCUCAGCAUUUCAAUUCCGGAAUUGAAAUCGACAUGGACAAAUCUUUUUAUGUUGGUGAUGCUGCUGGGAGAGAAAACGAUCAUAGCGAUGCCGAUAUAAAAUUUGCUGAGGCCAUCGGUUUAAAGUUUCACGUUCCUGAGGAAUACUUCGGUCCCUAGGAGUUCUGAGGUGAGGUCUAUUUGGGUAAGAUGGUUAUGCUACCAUGGUAUGUAGUUUUUAGUUGUUGAGAAUACCACAGCUAUCCUGAUGUGGAAAUCUGUAUUUGGCUGUUUAAACAGUCUAAUAAUAUCGUAGCUAUUCUGAUGUGGAAA